rnacentral:tRNA from 5 species
UCAGGGCGUGGCUGAGUUAGCCAAGCAUCUCACUUACACCGAGAAGACAUCCA